rnacentral:rRNA from 1 species
UACGUAGGGGCCUAGCGUUGUCCGGAAUUAUUGGGCGUAAAGAGCUCGUAGGCGGUUCGGCAAGUCGGAUGUGAAAUCUCCACGCUUAACGUGGAGGGGCCAUUCGAAACUGCUGUGACUGGAGUCCGGUAGGGGAGUGUGGAAUUCCCGGUGUAGCGGUGAAAUGCGCAGAUAUCAGGAGGAACACCCGUGGCGAAAGCGGCUCUCUGGGACGGUACUGACGCUGAGACGCGAAAGCGUGGGGAGCAAACAGG